rnacentral:tRNA from 1 species
GGGUCUGUGGUUUAGUGGUAUAAUACUCCCUUAGCAUGGGAGUGGUCCGGGGUUCGGUAAGUUCCACUCUGUUCGAAAACCAGUCUCUACAGUUCACUAACAAUGCCAAUAGAUUCCCCGCGGAUCCA